UUUUCUCACAAUUUUAAAUUAUUUACAUGCAUAUCGUCUCAGAUUCGAGCAGAAAAGCCGCUAUUUUCGUCAAAUCCUGAGCUGGAUAAUUUGAUGAUUCAAGCCAUUCAAGUUUUACGGUUUCAUCUUUUGGAGCUCGAAAAGGUACAUGAACUUUGUGACAAUUUUUGUCAUCGGUACAUCAGCUGUUUGAAGGGGAAGAUGCCCAUCGACUUGGUUAUAGACGACAGAGAAGGAGGAUCAAAUCAGACAGUGAAGAAA